GGGGCUGUAGCUCAGUUGGUAGAGCGUUUCGUUCGCAUCGAAAAGGUCGCGGUUUCGAUUACCGUCAGCUCCA
rnacentral:tRNA from 1 species